AGUGAACGCUGGCGGUAGGCCUAACACAUGCAAGUCGAACGGCAGCACAGUAAGAGCUUGCUCUUACGGGUGGCGAGUGGCGGACGGGUGAGGAAUACAUCGGAAUCUACUUUUUCGUGGGGGAUAACGUAGGGAAACUUACGCUAAUACCGCAUACGACCUACGGGUGAAAGCAGGGGAUCUUCGGACCUUGCGCGAUUGAAUGAGCCGAUGUCGGAUUAGCUAGUUGGCGGGGUAAAGGCCCACCAAGGCGACGAUCCGUAGCUGGUCUGAGAGGAUGAUCGGCCACACUGGAACUGAGACACGGUCCAGACUCCUACGGGAGGCAGCAGUGGGGAAUAUUGGACAGUGGGCGCAAGCCUGAUCCAGCCAUACCGCGUGGGUGAAGAAGGCCUUCGGGUUGUAAAGCCCUUUUGUUGGGAAAGAAAAGCAGCAGGUUAAUACCCCGCUGUUCUGACGGUACCCAAAGAAUAAGCACCGGCUAACUUCGU
rnacentral:rRNA from 1 species